rnacentral:rRNA from 1 species
UACGUAGGGUGCGAGCGUUGUCCGGAUUUAUUGGGCGUAAAGGGCUCGUAGGCGGCGUGUCGCGUUGGGAGUGAAAGCCCGUUGCUUAACGGCGGGUUGGCUUUCGGUACGGGCAUGCUGGAGUGCGGCAGGGGAGACUGGAAUUCCUGGUGUAGCGGUGGAAUGCGCAGAUAUCAGGAGGAACACCGGUGGCGAAGGCGGGUCUCUGGGCCGUUACUGACGCUGAGGAGCGAAAGCGUGGGGAGCGAACAGG